UUUUUAAUUUGUGGUAGCAAAUUUCGUAAGAUAAUCAUGCAUAAAGGGAUCUUUAAAAAACCACAGCUUUCUCAGAACAUGCCACCCACCAAGUACAUGUUAAUAUAUUUCUGAAACAAUGUUCUGAACUAAUCCAGAUUCUCUCCUUAGGUAUAUACCCAGACAACUUUCUAGAUCCUAGAGUCAUUGGACAUGAGAUGGGCGGCAAAUCAAUUUAAUAAUAAAUAAGUAGGAGCCAAGGAAGAAGAGCAUUUCAAUGUGUUUUGCAGCAGAAACCGCUGAGCAUCAAGGAGGUGUCAGAAGCCAGUUCUAGCACAGAAGAUAUUCUCCUUAAGUGCUAGAACUCAAUAACCGGGGACAAUCUCCGGGGAAACUUGCUCAUGUAUACUUCAUCAAAAGGAACAAGGACUGCAAAAAGUGCCCCAUACGCCAUCUUUCCUUAUCCCCAAUUCUGCAACUCUUAAAACAGUUCACCAGACAAUUAUUAACAGACACACUUUAUGUCAGGAUAUGUUGGAGCAGAUCUUCAAGAGUUCGGGAACAUGUGGAAUGCUAAGUACAUAAGAGAGCCAGAAUUCCCAGGCAAAAGGGUUUAGUAAAAUCAUGGCAGAGAGAGAAGAGGGAAAAUCUGGUAGAACACAGAAGGUAUCAAAAGGGGACUUGGUUUACUAUGAUGGACACUUCGUUCUUAAACCUCACAGCUGGAAUAAAAUUCUGGAUCUGAA